GACGAACGCUGGCGGCGUGCCUAAUACAUGCAAGUAGAACGCUGAAGAGAGGAGCUUGCUCUUCUUGGAUGAGUUGCGAACGGGUGAGUAACGCGUAGGUAAUCUGCCUUGUAGCGGGGGAUAACUAUUGGAAACGAUAGCUAAUACCGCAUAACAAUGGAUGACACAUGUCAUUUAUUUGAAAGGGGCAAUUGCUCCACUACAAGAUGGACCUGCGUUGUAUUAGCUAGUAGGUGAGGUAAUGGCUCACCUAGGCGACGAUACAUAGCCGACCUGAGAGGGUGAUCGGCCACACUGGGACUGAGACACGGCCCAGACUCCUACGGGAGGCAGCAGUAGGGAAUCUUCGGCAAUGGGGGCAACCCUGACCGAGCAACGCCGCGUGAGUGAAGAAGGUUUUCGGAUCGUAAAGCUCUGUUGUAAGUCAAGAACGGGUGUGAGAGUGGAAAGUUCACACUGUGACGGUAGCUUACCAGAAAGGGACGGCUAACUACGUG
rnacentral:rRNA from 1 species